UGAAAAAAGGUGAGCUGUAUAUGCAACGGAGGAAGAAACCCCGUUGCUGGAAGCCAGGAAAAAGUAUCGGGUGUUGCUGAACCGUGUUGAUACGUCAAC
rnacentral:misc_RNA from 1 species